GGGCCGGGGUCACCCCCCCCCCCACUCCUCGCGCAGACCUGCCAUCAGGACGUAGGGGGCGCGCCGGGCUGGGCGCGCCUGGCGGGGCCCGGCGCCCGGGGAGGGGCCUGCUCCCGGGGGCAGGACGGCGCCCGGAGGCCGGGGCCGGCGGGGAGGGCCGGGCGGGGGCGGGGACGCUGGCCGAGGCCGCCGCCCGUGUGGCGCGCCGGGGCUCCGCUCCCGUUCCCGGCGCCGCGCACUGCCCGGCGGGGCCAGGGACUGCCGGGGAGGCGGCGCCGGCCGGCGGGGCGGGGGCCCAGAAGUGGGUUUCGGGCCGCCGCCCGCACUGGCACCGGGCGCAGAGGGCGGUUCACGGCGGACUCCGAGCCCCGGCACCGCACCGGGCAGUCUCCGGAUCUGCCGUUCUGUCCCGGCCGGGAAAACCCGGCGCCUUCCAGGCCCUUCGAAAGAUGGAUUCUGUUGACGUAUCUGGCGGCCCUGGCGAGCCGGGUGGAAAGUUGGGUUUUGCCAGAUCGCGCCGGGCUCCUCUUUGUGAUGCGCGGCCAGCCCCGCAUUCCCCCGGAGCCGGGCCA
rnacentral:lncRNA from 1 species